AUUGAACGCUGGCGGCAUGCCUUACACAUGCAAGUCGAACGGCAGCACGGGAGCAAUCCUGGUGGCGAGUGGCGAACGGGUGAGUAACGUAUCGGAACGUGCCCAGUCGUGGGGGAUAACGCAGUGAAAGCUGUGCUAAUACCGCAUACGAUCUAUGGAUGAAAGCGGGGGAUCGCAAGACCUCGCGCGACUGGAGCGGCCGAUAUCAGAUGAGCUAGGUGGGGGGGUAAAGGCUCACCAAGGCGACGAUCUGUAGCUGGUCUGAGAGGACGACCAGCCACACUGGAACUGAGACACGGUCCAGACUCCUACGGGAGGCAGCAGUGGGAAUUUUGGACAAUGGGCGCAAGCCUGAUCCAGCAAUGCCGCGUGCAGGAUGAAGGCCUUCGGGUUGUAAACUGCUUUUGUACGGAGCGAAAAGGCUCUCUCUAAUACAGGGGGCUCAUGACGGUACCGUAAGAAUAAGCACCGGCUAACUACGUGCCAGCAGCCGCCGUAA
rnacentral:rRNA from 1 species